ACCUGGCGCUGUAGUGUGUGCCUGUGUCCCAGCUAUUCACUGGCUGAUGCAGGAGGAUCUUUUGAGCUCAGGAGUUCUGUGCUAUAGUGAUCAAGAGUCCUCCAUAGAUUCAGCAUCAAUAUACUGACUUCCUGGGAGAGGAGGACCACCAGGUUGCCUAAGGAGGGAUGUAACAGCCCAGGUAAAAAAAUAAAAUAAAAUAAAACAGAGCAGGUCAUAAUUCCUGUGUUGAUCAGUAGUGGGAUCACUACUAAUGCAAUUUCUUCCAAAGAAACGGGAGAUCCAGUUUCUU
ensembl:misc_RNA Metazoa_SRP Metazoan signal recognition particle RNA